rnacentral:rRNA from 1 species
UACGGAGGGUGCAAGCGUUGUCCGGAAUUAUUGGGUUUAAAGGGUGCGUAGGCGGGCUAAUAAGUCAGAGGUGAAAUCCCACAGCUUAACUGUGGAACGGCCUUUGAUACUGUUAGUCUUGAGUAAAGUAAAGGUAGGCGGAAUUUAUGGUGUAGCGGUGAAAUGCAUAGAUACCAUAAAGAACACCGAUAGCGAAGGCAGCUUACUAGACUUAUACUGACGCUGAGGCACGAAAGCGUGGGUAGCGAACGGG